GUAGGUGGCAAGCGUUGUCCGGAAUUAUUGGGCGCAAAGCGCGCGCAGGCGGUUCUUUAAGUCUGAUGUGAAAGCCCACGGCUCAACCGUGGAGGGUCAUUGGAAACUGGAGAACUUGAGUACAGAAGAGGAAAGCGGAAUUCCACGUGUAGCGGUGAAAUGCGCAGAGAUGUGGAGGAACACCAGUGGCGAAGGCGGCUUUCUGGUCUGUAACUGACGCUGAGGCGCGAAAGCGUGGGGGGAGCAAACAGGAUUAGAUACCCUGGUAGUCCACGCCGUAAACGAUGAGUGCUAAGUGUUAGGGGGUUUCCGCCCCCCCCUUAGUGCUGCAGCUAACGCAUUAAGCACUCCGCCUGGGAGUACGGCCGCAAGGCUG
rnacentral:rRNA from 1 species